rnacentral:rRNA from 1 species
ACUCAAAGGAAUUGACGGGGACCCGCACAAGCGGUGGAGCAUGUUGCUUAAUUCGACGCAACGCGAAGAACCUUACCGGGGCUUGACGUGUGCCGGACCGAUAUAGAGAUAUAUCUUCCCUUCGGGGCUGGUACAUUAGGUGCUGCACGGCUGUCGUCAGCUCGUGUCGUGAGAUGUUGGGUUAAGUCCUCUAACGAGCGCAACCCCCGUCCACAGUUGCCAUCAGGUUAUGCUGGGCACUCUGCGGAGACUGCCGGUUACAAGCCGGAGGAAGGUGGGGACGACGUCAAGUCAUCGUGGCCCUUACGUCCCGGGCUGCAAACGUGCUACAAUGGUCGGUACAAAGGGAAGCAAGACUGCGAGGUGGAGCAAAUCCCAAAAAGCCGGUCUCAGUUCGGAUUGUAGUCUGCAACUCGACUGCAUGAAGUUGGAAUCGCUAGUAAUCGCGGAUCAGCAUGCCGCGGUGAAUACGUUCCCGGGUCUUGUACACACCGCCCGU